rnacentral:rRNA from 1 species
ACACGACUACAUUAGAUACCCGCGUAGUCCUAGCCGUAAACGAUACUCGCUAGGUGUCGGCCACGGUGCGACCGUUGUCGGUGCCGUAGGGAAGCCGUGAAGCGAGCCACCUGGGAAGUACGGCCGCAAGGCUGAAACUUAAAGGAAUUGGCGGGGGAGCACAACAACGGGUGGAGCUUGCGGUUUAAUUGGAUUCAGCGCCGGAAAUCUUACCGGGACCGACAGCAACAUGAAGGCCAAGCUGAAGACUUUGCCGGAUUAGCUG